UACGUAGGGUGCGAGCGUUGUCCGGAAUUAAUGGGCGUAAAGAGCUCGUAGGCGGUGUGUCACGUCGGCCGUGAAAACCUGCAGCUUAACUGUGGGCGUGCGGUCGAUACGGGCAUCACUGGAGUUCGGCAGGGGAGACUGGAAUUCCUGGUGUAGCGGUGAAAUGCGCAGAUAUCAGGAGGAACACCGGUGGCGAAGGCGGGUCUCUGGGCCGAUACUGACGCUGAGGAGCGAAAGCGUGGGGAGCAAACAGG
rnacentral:rRNA from 1 species